UUGUGCAAGUUCUUAUUAAAAUUAGAUGU
rnacentral:piRNA from 1 species